rnacentral:misc_RNA from 13 species
GUGAUGUUCAAUGCACAGUUAUAACCGCAACGUCGCAGAGCAAAUUGCCCUUCGGGUGGCGAAUUAUGAUAUAUUCCAGUAACUGUUUGUAGCCGCUUAGGCUUUGAUCAGACAGUUAAACCAUAUCAAAAACAGUU